AAAAAAGUGGCUGACAUCGUUCUAACUUCCACAGAGUUUUGACCCUCAGAUUCUCACAGGACAGGGUCACACACUUCUAAGCUCCCUCUUGGAGUUCAGGGAAGGUCAAAGGGAAGAGUCUUAAACAGAAGACUCUAGCUCAGUGUAUCUAAUCUCCACACCCUAAAUAUUUACUCUGAGCCUCCUAGUCCUGUUUUGUCGUAUCCAACUGGAAUGACCCCCGUUUCUCUGCUCUUUCUCAUCCCUUCAAGCCCUGGCUGCAGUCUGAAGACUCAAAUUUAUUCAAAGGUACAAACUAACCAAGAGAUAUUCUGCUUUCAUUUUCCAUACUAUCCCUGAGGCAGAGUUGGAAAUAACAACGGGGCACGUGCGGCCCGGAGAGCGUGAAGUGACGCGUCUGAGACUCGCCCGCCUUCUGUGGCAGAACGGGAACUAGAAUUUCCGUCUCCUGACAUCAAGCCCACUGCCCUUUUGUAGCCGUCUGAGGGAAGGGCAGCCAGGAAAAUAAAUAUAAACGAAGAAGGUAGGAUAUGCUGGUCCACCUCGAGCUCCCCUCGACCCAUUCCAGACCUGAAGGUAAAGCAGUGGGAGAAACACUGGAUUGGACAGCUAAGGAGCUCUUGGCCUUGAUCUUGGCCUUGCCAUUCAACACUUGAUCUUCCUGACCUGGAAUAAGUAAUUUUCUCCCCUGGCUUCCUCUUGCUCAGCGGUCAAACAGGGAAAAUGUCAUUGACCUGGAUGGCAUGAUGUGUGAAACCACUCUACAAGCGAAUGAUUUAAGUAGCUUGAGUUAUCUCAAGUUCAUCGUGAUGAUUUCGGGCUGGUAGGGCAAGAAAUCAACGUCAACUCCCAUUUGGAGAGAGUCUUGGGGUUUCAAUUAUUCCCCCUCUGGUGUUUCCUGUUAAUUUACACAGAAUUUAUGUAAGUAGAAAGACUGCAUUGCCAUAGAGAUUCUUUUGUGGGGGGGGGGGGGGAGGAUCCAGUCAUGUUUCUUGGCCUUCUCAUAUUUGCCUUAUUUUUUCUGGUCUACUUGGAAAGCUAGCUCCUUAAUCUCUUCUCGCUAUUCGAACGAUGACUGGGAUACGGACCGACAUGGACAUGGAAAGGAUAACAUGAAAAGUUACCGAAGGAAAGGAUUACAGUAAAUAGGUCAGGCAUUCCUUUAUUUUAUGGGACUGGGAUGAUUUAGGCAGAUAUAAGAAGUGAUUUGCCCAAGAUAGCAGAGGGAGUUAAAGACAGAUUAAGAACUUAAAUACAGUUGAUUUAAAAAAGCCACAUUAGGACGCUUCCUCACCCCCCAUGCAAACUGGAGAAUCCACUCACGUGCAUGUGAAUAAUCCAGGUGUAGCGACCUAAAAAUUAUGCAUCACUCUCUGCAGUGUUGCAAGUGUAAUAGAAUUAGGAUAUGGCGACGAUUCUCCAACUCUACCUAUAUCAGAACCACCUACAGGACUUGUUAAAACCCAGGAUGCUGGGCCCCAAUCCCAGAGUUUCUGGUUUAGUAGGUGAGGUCUGAUAAUUUGCAUUUCUAACACCCUCCCAGGUGAUGCUGGCCAAUGGACCAUGAAUAUGCUGGAAUGUCUAUUUUUCUAGAACUUGGCAAAACUGUGGUAAGAGAAUCUUUUGACCUGUGACUUUUUUCUCCCAACUAUUAGUUCUUUGUUAAUGAAUAAUCCACUUAGCAUACCGGUAGGGGCGCCUGGGUGGCUCAGUCGGUUGAGCAUCCGACUCUUGAUGUUGGCUCCAGUCAUGAUUUCAAACCCCAUAUCAGGCUCUCGCUGGCAACGUGGAACCUGCUUGGGAUUCUCUCUCUUCCUCUCUCUGUGACCCUCCUCCUCUCUCUCUCUCCCUCUCUCUCUCUCUCUUAAAUAAAUAAAUAAACAUUAAAAAAGAAUGCUGGUGGAGAAAGGCUUUAGGUAGACAUUCUCAGUUAUCAGUCUGUCGCCUAGGGCACUUGUUCCAGAUGGAGGUUCCUGCUACUUUCUCCCUCCCCACCCCCUCGGAAUGCAACAAGCGAGGCUCCUUGAUGCCUCGGUUUCGUCCUGAUCAUUAUUUUAGCACUAGGGGCUGGGUGUUGUAUAAGCAACUGCUGAGCGAGUGAAGGAAUGAAUUAAUCAAUCAACGGAAUCAUACCUUCUGGUAAUAAUGUCAACCGGGCAUUUCUUUUAUUGUUUUAAAGUUUCACUGCAGGCUUUGCCGCCAGAUACAAAAAGGCAUACAGCUGUCACAAGGAGGGCACUGCACACAAAGUCUCAGCUGUAAACACCACUUCAAAAUAGAAACUCGCUCUUUGGAAUACAUUGUGUCAAAGGCUUCCCAUAUGAAUACCGUUGUUAUAAAACGGCGACAUUUCCUUUGAUAAGCAGACAAAACGCACCCGUUAUCUUACACACAUUUCCAUCUCCUUGUAGCAAUUCCCGUCUCUACCUGCGCUACUCUCAUCCACCCAUGCAGGCACAGGCCACUUCUAUUCCUUCACAAGGGCGGAGGAGACUGGGCUUGGGCCGUGUGACUUGCAUGGCCAUCAGCAAACAUGGUGCGGAGACUUGAUGGGUGAUGUACAAAAGUGAGCCCUUCCUCCUUGGAACCCAGCUGCCAUGCUUUAAGAAAGCCAGUCUAACCGGCUAGCAGAUGAGCAACUCCGCACUCUCGCUGACCAACGCCAACUUCCGGAAGUGUGAAUGAAACCGUCUUGGAUGUUUCUAUUUCGGCCCCAGUAGAGCUCCCAUCUGUUUGCAGCGGCUGAACGAGCGACCCAGGUGAAUGAAUGACCUUGGUCAAUAUCGCCCGGAGGAGGGAAACCACCCAGCCGAGCGCAGAUAGUACACAGAAUCGUGG
rnacentral:lncRNA from 1 species